UUACUAGGGGUUUACUCGAGGUCAUUCACGUCGAACUGCACUGUCGAAUGACAUAAUUCAGCGAACAUUACGUACUGGUUCCGGUUCCUAGCAUCGUUGUGUAGCAUAUUUUAGACAAGUUGUCAGUAUUAGCAAGGAUGAGCCAGAGGAGUCUUCAUACCAUGGGCCGCAGAAGGGGGAGAGGAGGGCGCGCGAGAGGGCGCCGGCAUUUCCAUUCCGAUCCCGAUUUCUAUCUCGAUGAUGAUUAUCAUCAUCAUCCCUUAAUAUUAACGAGGGGGUCGUUCGACAGCAGGUGGUAUCAGCCUGAGUCUGAGUGCCCAGUGCCCACCCCGCCUCCCCGGACCUUCACGGAGCGCGUUAUCGAAGUCACCAUUGUGAUGAUCGCUGCAAUUUAUUUUUUACGUGGCAAUUGAAGAUUUUGCUCAUGGUCACUCAAGCGUUUUUUUUUUUUUAAAUUCCUAAUAAAUGUUGUACUUCACAGA